rnacentral:sRNA from 1 species
GUUUAGCCCAGAUUGAAGUGGCAUCCUUUUUUUGUUUUUUCAAAAAAAGAUAUAGCGUAAAGCUGGAAAUAGC